AUAUAAGGAGUUUGCCAAAUUGCAACAUCAGAGGAAACAGUCCCCACAAGACUGCUCUCACCUUUGGACAGCAAUUGAGGCAGUGAGAAAAAUUAUAAUACAAUACCAUAAAUGCUAUACUAGUCAUGAACCAGAUACUGUGGGAACUAAAUAUGGAGUCUCACUCUCACUCUGUCGCCCAGGCUGG